GAUGGAGUAACCAAGAGCCCAGAAAAGCGCUCUUCUCUCCCAAGACCUUCCUCCAUUCUUCCUCCUCGGAGAGGUGUGUCAGGAGACAGAGAUGAGAAUUCCUUCUCUCUCAACAGUUCUAUCUCUUCUUCAGCACGGCGGACCACCAGGUCAGAGCCAAUUCGCAGAGCAGGGAAGAGUGGUACCUCAACACCCACUACCCCUGGGUCUACUGCCAUCACUCCUGGCACCCCACCAAGUUAUUCUUCACGCACACCAGGCACUCCUGGAACCCCUAGCUAUCCCAGGACCCCUCACACACCAGGAACCCCCAAGUCUGCCAUCUUGGUGCCGAGUGAGAAGAAGGUCGCCAUCAUACGUACUCCUCCAAAAUCUCCUGCGACUCCCAAGCAGCUUCGGCUUAUUAACCAACCACUGCCAGACCUGAAGAAUGUCAAAUCCAAAAUCGGAUCAACAGACAACAUCAAAUACCAGCCUAAAGGGGGGCAGGUAAGAAUUGCAUGAACACAUAUUUGCUGCCAGAAAUAGUUAUUACAUUGCCUUCUUCAUAUUGAAAGCUAGCAGUUCUUUAAAGGGAAGCAGAUGUGUUAAAGAGCUACUGGUUACAAUUUAUUGCUAAGAGUUUGGACUUUACAUUAGGAAGAUAGCCUCUGAAAUGUAAUGAAAAUCACAUGACAUGCCCAUUCCUUCUGUUUAUUAUUGGGUAAAAAUUUUUACCAACUUUUAGUUGAUUGACUUUUUUUUUUCUGAAUGUAUCUCCAUUGCUUUGUGUUUUUUAACUUGAGAUUAAAGUUAUAUUUCUGAUAUAAAA
rnacentral:sRNA from 1 species